rnacentral:lncRNA from 1 species
UGGAAGGGAGAAAGAGAAACUCUCCUUUCUCUCUCUAAAUCUCUCCCAAAAUAGAUGGAUUUGGUGGAGAUUGAAGCUUGGAGGUGAAUCGCCUUCGUCUUCUUCAUCUUCUCCACCUUGAGGGCAAGCUUGAGAGGUAAGAUUUUGCUACCCUUUAAUGGUAGAUUCUUAAUGAUUGGUUGAAAUACCUUAUAAAUGGAUUUAGAGGAAUCCUAGCAUGCUAUCUAGAUGAAUGAUACUUGAUUCAUGAAGGAAUUUGGUGGAUUUUUAUCUAAUUUAACCCUUUGUACACCGAAUUCCUAGGUAAACAAACGCGUUGGCGAAGACGGUUCGGCAAUCCGACGAGCCGUUGCGAAGUUAUUAAUGAAACGGAUGUUUAGG